GGGUUGUGAGGUUAAGCGACUAAGCGUACACGGUGGAUGCCUAGGCAGUCAGAGGCGAUGAAGGGCGUGCUAAUCUGCGAAAAGCGUCGGUAAGGUGAUAUGAACCGUUACAACCGACGAUACCCGAAUGGGGAAACCCAGUGCAAUUCGUUGCACUAUUGCAUGGUGAAUACAUAGCCAUGCAAGGCGAACCGGGGGAACUGAAACAUCUAAGUACCCCGAGGAAAAGAAAUCAACCGAGAUUCCCCUAGUAGCGGCGAGCGAACGGGGAGGAGCCCAGAGUCUGAAUCAGUUUGUGUGUUAGUGGAAGCGUCUGGAAAGUCGCACGGUACAGGGUGAUAGUCCCGUACACAAAAACACACUUGCUGUGAACUCGAUGAGUAGGGCGGGACACGUGACAUCCUGUCUGAAUAUGGGGGGACCAUCCUCCAAGGCUAAAUACUCCUGACUGACCGAUAGUGAACCAGUACCGUGAGGGAAAGGCGAAAAGAACCCCGGCGAGGGGAGUGAAAUAGAACCUGAAACCGUGUACGUACAAGCAGUGGGAGCACCUUCGUGGUGUGACUGCGUACCUUUUGUAUAAUGGGUCAGCGACUUAUAUUUUGUAGCAAGGUUAACCGAAUAGGGGAGCCGUAGGGAAACCGAGUCUUAACUGGGCGUCUAGUUGCAAGGUAUAGACCCGAAACCCGGUGAUCUAGCCAUGGGCAGGUUGAAGGUUGGGUAACACUAACUGGAGGACCGAACCGACUAAUGUUGAAAAAUUAGCGGAUGACUUGUGGCUGGGGGUGAAAGGCCAAUCAAACCGGGAGAUAGCUGGUUCUCCCCGAAAGCUAUUUAGGUAGCGCCUCGUGAACUCAUCUUCGGGGGUAGAGCACUGUUUCGGCUAGGGGGCCAUCCCGGCUUACCAAACCGAUGCAAACUCCGAAUACCGAAGAAUGUUAUCACGGGAGACACACGGCGGGUGCUAACGUCCGUCGUGAAGAGGGAAACAACCCAGACCGCCAGCUAAGGUCCCAAAGUCAUGGUUAAGUGGGAAACGAUGUGGGAAGGCAUAGACAGCCAGGAUGUUGGCUUAGAAGCAGCCAUCAUUUAAAGAAAGCGUAAUAGCUCACUGGUCGAGUCGGCCUGCGCGGAAGAUGUAACGGGGCUAAACCAUGCACCGAAGCUGCGGCAGCGACACUUAGGUGUUGUUGGGUAGGGGAGCGUUCUGUAAGCCGUUGAAGGUGACCUGUGAGGGUUGCUGGAGGUAUCAGAAGUGCGAAUGCUGACAUAAGUAACGAUAAUGCGGGUGAAAAACCCGCACGCCGGAAGACCAAGGGUUCCUGUCCAACGUUAAUCGGGGCAGGGUGAGUCGACCCCUAAGGCGAGGCUGAAAAGCGUAGUCGAUGGGAAACAGGUUAAUAUUCCUGUACUUGGUGUUACUGCGAAGGGGGGACGGAGAAGGCUAGGCUAGCCGGGCGACGGUUGUCCCGGUUUAAGCAUGUAGGCGGAGCGACUUGGUAAAUCCGGUUGCUUAUCAACGCUGAGGUGUGAUGACGAGUCACUACGGUGAUGAAGUAGUUGAUGCCAAGCUUCCAGGAAAAGCCUCUAAGCAUCAGGUAACAUUAAAUCGUACCCCAAACCGACACAGGUGGUCAGGUAGAGAAUACUCAGGCGCUUGAGAGAACUCGGGUGAAGGAACUAGGCAAAAUGGUGCCGUAACUUCGGGAGAAGGCACGCUGGCAUUAGGUAAAGGGACUUGCUCCCGGCGCCGAAGCCAGUCGCAGAUACCAGCUGGCUGCAACUGUUUAAUAAAAACACAGCACUGUGCAAACACGAAAGUGGACGUAUACGGUGUGACGCCUGCCCGGUGCUGGAAGGUUAAUUGAUGGGGUCAGCCUUACGGCGAAGCUCUUGAUCGAAGCCCCAGUAAACGGCGGCCGUAACUAUAACGGUCCUAAGGUAGCGAAAUUCCUUGUCGGGUAAGUUCCGACCUGCACGAAUGGCGUAAUGAUGGCCAGGCUGUCUCCACCCGAGACUCAGUGAAAUUGAACUCGCUGUGAAGAUGCAGUGUACCCGCGGCAAGACGGAAAGACCCCGUGAACCUUUACUAUAGCUUGACACUGAACAUUGAGCCUUGAUGUGUAGGAUAGGUGGGAGGCAUUGAAGUGUGGACGCCAGUCUGCAUGGAGCCAACCUUGAAAUACCACCCUUUAAUGUUUGAUGUUCUAACUCGGCCCCGUAAUCCGGGGUGAGGACAGUGUCUGGUGGGUAGUUUGACUGGGGCGGUCUCCUCCCAAAGAGUAACGGAGGAGCACGAAGGUUAGCUAAUCACGGUCGGACAUCGUGAGGUUAGUGCAAAGGCAUAAGCUAGCUUGACUGCGAGAGUGACGGCUCGAGCAGGUACGAAAGUAGGUCUUAGUGAUCCGGUGGUUCUGAAUGGAAGGGCCAUCGCUCAACGGAUAAAAGGUACUCCGGGGAUAACAGGCUGAUACCGCCCAAGAGUUCAUAUCGACGGCGGUGUUUGGCACCUCGAUGUCGGCUCAUCACAUCCUGGGGCUGAAGUAGGUCCCAAGGGUAUGGCUGUUCGCCAUUUAAAGUGGUACGCGAGCUGGGUUUAGAACGUCGUGAGACAGUUCGGUCCCUAUCUGCCGUGGGCGUUGGAAGAUUGAGAGGGGCUGCUCCUAGUACGAGAGGACCGGAGUGGACGAAUCACUGGUGUUCGGGUUGUCAUGCCAAUGGCAUUGCCCGGUAGCUAAAUUCGGAAGAGAUAACCGCUGAAAGCAUCUAAGCGGGAAACUUGCCUCGAGAUGAGUCUUCCCUGGGGCUUUAAGCCCCCUGAAGGAACGUUAAAGACUAUGACGUUGAUAGGCUGGGUGUGUAAGUGCAGCGAUGCAUUGAGCUAACCAGUACUAAUGAUCCGUGAGGCUUAACCUUACAACACCAAAGGUGUUUUG
rnacentral:rRNA from 1 species